UCUCCCCGCCUCUCACCCGCGCCGCUGCCGCCGGGUCGCGGUCGAUGUCGCCGUCCGAGAACCUGCCGAGGAAACACAACGGCGUUGAGCCAACAGCCAGUAAGUACACAAGCCACAAGGACCUUUGUGAUGGAUGGCACGCCAAAAUUACAUGGAAAGUUUGGGGCUGUUUAGAACAUAUUGGGAAGCGACGGAAAAGACCACUUCUUGGACACAGCUCAACUUUCAUUUGAGCUACAAAGCCAUACACGCUCCUUGUACGCCGAUCUGUUUCGUUUCUGGUGCUUUAAUAACUGAGGUGAUCACUGUGCCAGAUGGAUGAGCGACCACCUGUGAACUGCUGGGUGAAAAAGUUACCACUGGGGUAGUGGCAGUGAAGGAAGGAGAUGAAGCCAUG